GCCUGGGUAGCUCAGUUGGUAGAGUAGGAGACUUUUAAUCUGAGGGUUCAGGGUUCAAGUCCCUGUUCACACA
rfam:Loxodonta africana unplaced genomic scaffold scaffold_143, whole genome shotgun sequence.